rnacentral:rRNA from 1 species
AACGAACGCUGGCGGCAUGCCUAACACAUGCAAGUCGAACGAGACCUUCGGGUCUAGUGGCGCACGGGUGCGUACCGCGUGGGAACCUGCCCUUAGGUUCGGAAUAACUCCCCGAAAGGGGUGCUAAUACCGGAUAAUGUCUUCGGACCAAAGAUUUAUCGCCUUUGGAUGGGCCCGCGUUGGAUUAGCUAGUUGGUAGUGUAAAAGCCUACCAAGGCGACGAUCCAUAGCUGGUCUGAGAGGAUGAUCAGGCACACUGGGACUGAGACACGGCCCAGACUCCUACGGGAGGCAGCAGUGGGGAAUAUUGGACAAUGGGCGAAAGCCUGAGCCAGCAAUGCCGCGUGAGUGAUGAAGGACUUAGGGUUGUAAAGCUCUUUUAACAGGGAUGAUAAUGACAGUACCGGAAGAAUAAGCGCCGGCUAACUCCGUG